UNGAUUAUCCAUGUUUGCUACAAAGUUUA
rnacentral:piRNA from 1 species